rnacentral:rRNA from 1 species
GACGAACGCUGGCGGCGUGCUUAACACAUGCAAGUCGAACGAUGAAGCUAGAGCUUGCUCUGGUGAAUUAGUGGCGAACGGGUGAGUAACACGUGAGUAACCUGCCCCGAACUCUGGGAUAACUGCUGGAAACGGUAGCUAAUACUGGAUACGACCUACGAAGGCAUCUUCUGUAGGUGGAAAGAAUUUCGGUUCGGGAUGGACUCGCGGCCUAUCAGCUUGUUGGUGAGGUAAUGGCUCACCAAGGCGACGACGGGUAGCCGGCCUGAGAGGGUGACCGGCCACACUGGGACUGAGACACGGCCCAGACUCCUACGGGAGGCAGCAGUGGGGAAUAUUGCACAAUGGGCGCAAGCCUGAUGCAGCAACGCCGCGUGAGGGAUGACGGCCUUCGGGUUGUAAACCUCUUUUAGUAGGGAAGAAGUGAAAGUGACGGUACCUGCAGAAAAGCACCGGCUAACUAUGUGCCAGCAGCCGCGGUAA